rnacentral:rRNA from 1 species
UACGAAGGGGGCUAGCGUUGCUCGGAAUGACUGGGCGUAAAGGGCGCGUAGGCGGAUGGCACAGUCAGAUGUGAAAUUCCCGGGCUUAACCUGGGGGCUGCAUUUGAUACGUGUGAUCUAGAGUGAGGAAGAGGGUCGUGGAAUUCCCAGUGUAGAGGUGAAAUUCGUAGAUAUUGGGAAGAACACCGGUGGCGAAGGCGGCGACCUGGUCCUUGACUGACGCUGAUGCACGAAAGCUAGGGGAGCAAACAGG